CUGUGCGUGGCUCAGUGGUUACAGCCUAGGGCUCGUAACCGAAAGGUUCCGAGUUCGAACCUCGCAAGGGGCAGA
rnacentral:tRNA from 1 species